rnacentral:rRNA from 1 species
CUGUCCUGGAGAUGAGUCUGUGAGAGGUGACGAAGGAGUGCUUGCUUGUAUGCAUCAGCUGAAAUUGAUGAGACGUAGCUGACCGUGACGUGGUGUUCACCAUCGGCAAGGGUCGAGUAAAAGCUGCCAAGGCAUGUGUUGCUCGUGACAAUGAAUUCUCGACGCAUCGUGACGAUCGUUGUGGCUAGUUCAGCAAGCUUGAUAUCCCAGACGAAUAAUUGAUUUUCCCAAGCAUCAGUGUCGAUCAUCU